rnacentral:lncRNA from 1 species
CAGCCUCUCACCACAGAUUAUUUGACUGUCAGGGAUUUCAAAGAACAAAAGAGACUUCAGGUAGGAUGGCUGCCUUCCAGUUUUCAGGUUGUUAUAUCUUUGUGGGGGUUGCAGUGGUUUGUAUUUUGAAGGAUACUUUCACUUUCUUUGACAGAAAUCAUUGAACAUUGAUUGGACUCCAACACAAAACAGCUCUUUCACUUAGGCGAGACUUGAUUUCUCUUUUCUAUCACAGAUAAUCCAUAAUGCCUGUAAACAGCACUACUGGACACGCUUUUAAGGCUUGCCAUCACCACAGACAGCAUCUGAGACACUAUUUCAACCUCAUCUGCACCCAUGAGAGGUCAUUCUGACCGGUGAGAACACUGCUUCACCUUGGACUUGCCUUUGUCAUGGUUCUUGCCUUUCCCAGAGAGCCCCUUCACUGCCCAUAAUGAAGGGAGGCCAUGAGGUCAAGAGCCUGGCCAUCUUUCACUGCCACCUACCUUUGGAGUCUCAGGUAGAGUUCUAUCUCCCAAGGAAACCUCGACAACACACCAGAGAUUAUACUCCAAUCCCCAUUCCAGACCUGAUUCUUGUACACGGCCUCUGUAGGAACUGGCAUAAAAAGAACUGUUUCCAGGGACUAUCUCACAGUCUUGAAACACCUCCUCCUCUAGAUGGAUCCGACCAUGGGGACAACGAGAAGGGGCAUUAAAGUCAAGACUUUCAGAGUCCAGAAAUGCCUUAUUACAGGCUGCCUUAUUCCCAAUACCAGGACGGCUCUGCUUUUACCAUUCUUUUCUGCUUAAGCAGGCUGACAGCUCUGACAGCUGGGCUCCCAAGCCUGCCUCAUGUAUGUGCAUGAGCUAGUCUCAGAGCACUAGGCCUGAAUGUGAGCUCUGAGUAACAUCACAGCGAAUAUCACCAUUGCCUAGUGACAAGUCCCUGUGGCUUAGCAGAGAAGAAAACAUCCCUCGAAGUUCAUCAGCAUUGGAUUCGCAUUUGACUUCUCUUUGGAAUCCCAUGAACUGAGGAGAAGGAAGACGUGAGUCAGCCUGAAAAAAAGUCAGUCCCCAGAAAUAAAUCGUGAAAUCCCCAAGGAUCCCCAAUGAUCCCAAAGGAUCUGCAGGAUUUCUUGCUCCUGCCUAGAUGUUGUAGGGGUGAGUAUUUGGAAACUUGCUGUACUAUGAUUUUUAGUUUUCCUGAUUCACAUAUGAUUUUGUGUGUUUCCCGAGGUUGCUCUUUCAUACAUGGGUCUUCCUGUAAAACCAUGCAGUCUCAGAACCUGCCAGGCUGUGUGUUUCUGUUGUAGUGUUUCGAGUAUUGGAUGUCUGCAUAUGUAUGUGGCAUUUUGUGUUUAUGUGUGUGUGUGUGUGUAUGGGACUGUACCUGUAAGUGGAGUCUGCUUAAAGGAAUAUGCCUAAUGCAAUUCUUAGAUUCUUUUUUUUUUUUCCUUGAGAUUCCUAACCUUUUGGUGGCC